UCCAAGGAAACAUUAAAAACAAUUUGUUUGUAUUUGAGUUCUAUAACACUUUUUAAACUUUGUAAUAUGAAAAGAAUAGUUAAAUACCAUAAAAAACAAACGUAACAAGUUUUGGAAUGUUUGGUUAAUAUAUUGUUACAAUAGGUAAAAAUUAUUUUGUUAAUUGAUUCUUCCAAUUAUUUUUUUCUGUUGAUAGGGCAGAUUUGAAUGUCAUAUCUUAAGCAUGUUGAUUUUGGUAUAUAUGAGUAUACUACAAUGUUAUAUUAGUUGUUCAGGCCUGCCUAUGCUUUUAGAGGAGCACUAUUCUUGUUCACCAGGUGUUUAUUUUUGUUGACAGUUCAUUACCAUGACUGAGCAAUUAAAAUGUCUGUUAUAUUGU
rnacentral:sRNA from 1 species